GGUGAUGUAGCCCAAUUGGUAGCGGCAACGGUCUCAGAAGCCGUCAAGUGUGGGUUCGACUCCCACCGUCACCA
rnacentral:tRNA from 1 species